ACAGGGGUGCGUACAAAUGGACCAGGACGCGGAGAGCACGGAAACAACGGUGCUGGGACCUUGUGCACAGAAUCCAGAUGCCAGAUGGGAAUUAAACAUUCGGCCGAGAAAAGCAAUCUAGUUCCCUGGGCUCGACUUUGACUCACUCCUUGGUCUGCACCAAUCCUCACAUCCCUCAGGUCCUCUAACUUUUACGACAGUAUCCAGAAAUCGAUUCUUUGGUCUCUACGGCUCCAGAAGGCUCGCUCAUCAAGGUCAGUCCUUUGUCUGGCUGUUUUCUUCCUUUUUUCUUUUUCUUUUUCUUUUUCUUUUUUUCUUUUUCUUUUCCUUUUUUUCCUUUCUCUUUCUUUCUCUUUCCUUUCUUCUCUUCCUUCCUUUCUUUUUUUCUUCUUUUUUUAAAAUCACUGCCGGAGGCCACAUGGCCAAAAGUGAAAGGGUCUGUCCUGGUUAAUUUCUCUUCCCUGCAGGCACUGUUUCGAGGAGUUUCAAAAUUAAUUUUUCCAAAGAAAAUAUCGAGAAACUGGUAAUUUUGUUGAGGUAGAGCCAUGGCCCGAAAUUCACUGUGUAGUUGAAGAUGACCCCGGAGUCAUGAUCCUUCUGCUUUCUUUCAGAAACGUUCCAUUACCUUCGAUUAGAAGUGGAUACAUAUAUGAUUUUGGCCUAAAAAAAAAUUUGCAAAAAGGGAGAAUGCAAACUUGUCCUUUUCCUUUUGGAUUUACGGAGUGCCAGUAUCAGGUGUGGUUCCAGGUUCCCGUUCCAGGUUCCAGAUAAGGCUGUGGUGAGGUCUCGAGCAGACAAGCACAAGUCCAAUUGCCUCUUCUUUUGAAAGUUCGUCAAAAAGACUUCUGCUUGUGGGCUUAAUGUUUAUUUCUUUAAAACUCAAUAAAAUCGGAGCAAGAUAAUUAGAACUAAAAGAGAGAAAGUGAAACAUUUAAGUCAGUGAUUCUAGAGCCAGCUGUGGGGUGGUGUAUCUCAGCAGCGGGGGUGGGUGGUGGGGGUGAGUUGGAGGCCUGCCUGGAUAGCUUCAUGAAUACCAGCUAGUCAGAGCUAGAAAACAAGUCCUGUAAAUAUGAAGAAAUAAAUGAAUAAACAAAUAGGGAAAGGAAAUAAAAGAAAAAGAAACACACAUCCCGAAAUUUGACCCCAUGUCUCUGAACUGUGCAAAAAGCCCAUACGAGGUCUUUCCAGGGACUUUAGACCACCCGCAACACUAGCUUUUCUCUUUUGCUUAUUUAUUACAGUCAGGGUUGACAAAAAGAGAAUGGUUUUCUGUGGGAAGAAACUCCCUCCACAUAAGAGAUUUUAAAUUUCACAUGCUGAAAUUGUAUAACGAAACCCACUGUUAUUCCUCUUAUAGUCAGACUUGAGCUGACACUCACCACUGUCUAGAUUCUUCCUUCUUAUCAGACAGAAUCUGCCCAAUCUGACCUCUAUUUAUCCUUCAAAUGACUGAGAAGUGUAGGCAUGGAACAGGAUCAAAAGACUAGCCCAUUUCCAAGGCUCAGAUCCAUCUGCUGUGUGACUACACUCGCUGUAAGAGGUUUCCAGCAGGAACAAAUUUUUGGGUUCCAGUAAUACUGGACUGGUUGUUAACUUCCCAAAUGCUCAGUUGUGGUCGAAGAUGAGGAAUAUCUUAAAAUUCACACUGAAGUUUCGGCAUUUGCUAAAUGGUGCCACAUCCUGACUUUCAGGAAGAAAUACCCAAGCACCAAAAUACACUGGCCAUGGCUGUCUACAACCCACAACUGGCUUCCCUGGUGGUCUUGUACUUGAUGUAACCAUAUCAUUUAUCUAGCAAAUCUAGAUAAAUCUAAGAGAAAGGAGGUAAUCAGAAAGGACAGGGCGGCUACAGAACGUCUAGGAAAGGGUCAAGGACAGGGAAUCUUACUAGUUUUUUUGUCUUUCUUGUUUUUUAUAUAUACUCAGGAAACCAUGAGCAUCACUAUAUAGAAUAUAUCCAAUGUUUGAGAACACCUAGUUAUAACAUCAACAAAGCAAAAUCGAGACCAUAUAAUAUUACUAUGUAUAUACUACAUAUAUCUUUCAAUAGCUCAGUAGAGCAGAAUAUAUAGACAGUAUAUACACUAUUGCAGAGUAUAUGAGUAUAUAUACAGUAAAUAUGUACCUAUUUCUGAGGCUUUCGAUAGUUCAGUUGGUAGAGCGGAGGACUGUAGAGUAUUAACGUUGGUGAUCCUUAGGUCGCUGGUUCGAGUCCGGCUCGAAGGAAGGGAGUGUUUUGAUGGGUCGUUGUAUUCUGUUUUUAAACCAGGAAUUAGAUAUAUGUAACAGCCACUGGGUCCCCUUGGUCUUGACAUUUAGCAAAAAAUUUAUGAGACCAGGCCAAUCUUACCCCAAAGCAAAACGUAAUUAUCAGUUCAGUCCCUUUGCAUAGUGUGUCCCCACCACACUCUGCCCCACCUGUGACGGUUCUACACAUAGCUAGAAUAUGUGGUCGUUUUAUCUGGGACGGUAGUAUUGAGAAAAGGUCGGGGUAAGGUUAUAAAAGAGAGACUGGUCACUGUUUCCCUCUUUUCCUCCCCACUACCAGCAGAGUCUAUUGAGGAGGAAUCUCUGAAAAUGACAGCUGAUGGGUGUAGAGACCCACGCCCGGAAUCUCAGCAACUGAAGUGGUUGAAGCAGGAGCAUCUGGGCAGAGCUUGUAAGCAUCUCUAGCUUCUGACUUUGUUGCUGGUGUUAUGGUUUUUGGUUUUCUUUCUCAGAGGCUUUCUGGUGCACCUAGACUGUGCCAGCUCCUUAUAGCCCUCCUUCAGCUCUCCAGCCUUUUGCCUAUGCAGUCUCUGCUCCUAGCCUUUCAUAACUAAUAAACUUUAAAAUUUAUAAACUCCA
rnacentral:lncRNA from 1 species